UACAGAGGUCCCAAGCGUUGUUCGGAAUCACUGGGCGUAAAGGGCGCGUAGGUGGCGCGGGAAGUCAACGGUGAAAGUUCGGGGCUCAACCCUGAAUCGGCCGUCGAUACUCCCGGGCUCGAGCACUGUAGAGGCAGAUGGAAUUCCGGGUGUAGCGGUGGAAUGCGUAGAGAUCCGGAAGAACACCGGCGGCGAAGGCGGUCUGCUGGGCAGUUGCUGACACUGAUGCGCGACAGCGUGGGGAGCAAACAGG
rnacentral:rRNA from 1 species